UACGUAGGGAGCAAGCGUUAAUCGGAAUUACUGGGCGUAAAGCGUGCGCAGGCGGUUUUGUAAGUCUGUCGUGAAAGCCCCGGGCUCAACCUGGGAAUUGCGAUGGAGACUGCAAGGCUUGAAUCUGGCAGAGGGGGGUAGAAUUCCACGUGUAGCAGUGAAAUGCGUAGAGUAUGUGGAGGAACACCGAUGGCGAAGGCAGCCCCCCUGGGUCAAGACUGACGCUCAUGCACGAAAGCGUGGGGAGCAAACAGG
rnacentral:rRNA from 1 species